ensembl:rRNA 5S_rRNA 5S ribosomal RNA
GUCUAUGGCCAUGCCGCCCUGAACAUGCCUGAUUCAGUCUUGUCUGAUCUCGGAAGCUAAGCAGGGUUGGGCCUGGUUAGUACUUGGAUGGGAGAGCACCUAUGAAGAUCUGGUGCUGUAGGUG